AAAAAAAUCAUAGAACUAAUGUAACUAAUAUACUAGUUGCCUAUUGGUAAUUCUGGAAAACACUAAUAAAGUUGAGGCCACAACAGACUUUCCCAAACAUGCAUUAGGAUAGCAUUCGCUUCAAAGUCUUAGUAAAUUACAAGCACAAGUAGAGAGUACAUAAAGGUCAUUAAUAUAAAACAUUAGAUUCAUGCAGUUGAGAAAAUUAACUCUUAGAUUAAUUCUGCUCAUACAAAAGGAGAAGGGAUGAGCUAUUGGCCAGUUUGGUUGCCAGUCAAACUGAAUAGACCGGAACCAUCAGAAUAUAGAACUGAACUGACACCAAUUUUAUUAAUGAACUACACUGAAUCAAACAGAAAAUUUUGGUUUGGUGCAGUUUUGAACUGUGAAAAUUUCAGCUCCACGAAAAUGAAUCCCUCUCCUUUAUGCCAAAGAUUAAAAUCUGAUAAAGUAAAAUCUUAAAAACAAUAAUAAAAUAAACAUAAAUUACAAACAAUUUCUCCAUAAAUUUUAAAAAAAAAAUUUCAAAUCAGAUCUAGCCACAGGAUUACAUAUCUGAAGGAUAAAGAAUAAGUAGUGAAUAAAAAAAGGAGAUAUGGAUUUAAAUGAUAUAAACGAUGGGGCGUUCUCAACUUACGACACGCUACAUCGGAGCCCGAGUGCAGUGAGAAAUAUGCAAGGGUAUAG
rnacentral:misc_RNA from 1 species